UUAGGGAAGAGAGCUGGGUGGGGAAGCCACACCUGUUCCUCGCAGGAAUCCCAGGCAGAAAAUGCUGCCCCCUAUUGGUGGAGAGAAAUAUGGUCAUUGUUUCACAACCGGAGAGCCUGGGUGACUCCAGGGAGGCAGCUACCAGGAGCUGUAGCUUAUCCCAAAGGGGCUGGCGGCGGAAGCAGUUGGUGUGGGAUGAAGGGAUGCCCAGGCCACAUCAUGUUUCAAAGGGUGUGACAGGAAUGAUAAACCACUCUGCUUGUGAGAAGCCUGUCCCUCCGUCCCUGACUGGAACAUGUCACCCUUGCAUUGCCUUGUGAAUGGGCAGCAUUGAGCUUGUCUGAGGGAGGAGGCUCACUCUAAGACAGCCAUAAGCACCACCUGGCAUGUUCUAAACAUUUACAGUGGUCUCACGCUAUGCCAAGAGCUUUAGAUACUUCCUCAUCUCAAACUCUCACAACUCCACAAGGUAGGCAUUAUUGAUCCCAUUUGACAGAUAAGGAAACCAAUGUUCAGAGAGGUUGGGUCUCUUGCCCAAGGUCACAGAGCAGGUAACUAGUGGAGCUGGGAUUUGAACCCAGGUCUGUUUGACUCCAGAGCCCUUGGUCCCAACCACUAUAGCAUCCUUCCUUCCUUCUUAUAUUCAUUCACUCAUUCACUUGUUCAACAAUUAUUAUCAAGCAAAUUUCCCACAGAGAAUGUAGAAUUUGGAAGGAGUAAGAGGCCAUGCUAUGGUGGCCCCACAUUCCAGAUGUUUGGAGACAGGACCAGUCUUCCAUAUUCUCUCUGGCUGUCAGAGCGUGUGUCUUGGUGUUGUGUUUGGUAAGCACAUCUCCUGUAACUGAGGAUCCAGAAAGCCUGGGAGAGUAGACAAAGCACUGUUGGCAAAAGGGGGUCAAAGGAAGAUCUCUGCCUACACAGAAAUACAGGAGAGACCUCUGUGAAUAUCUGGAGAUAUUUCCCCUUGGCCUGGGCUUGUGGGUGAGUAAACAGCCACCGCCUGGCCCUCUGGGGCACGCUGGCCAGUUCAGGUAGACUUCCUCCAUCUCUCUCCUGGACUACCCAUUUUCCUUUUGCCCAGGCAGGAGGUUUUGGCUCUGAAGGAUGCCUUGCUAUGGACAUUGGUCUUUCCUCUCCUCACACAUGCAUCUACCCUGCCCCAAUGCCUCUUCAAAGGGGAGGAGGCCCAAGGAAAUUUCUUAUGAUCUCUCCAAGGAACUGUGGAGUUCUUCCUCCUCCGUUGCCUCUUCCUCCCAACGCUGGACCAGCAAAGGUGCUGCCUGAGGCCUCUCCUGACCUAUCUUGGGUUCUGGUUAGCAUUGCUCAGGGGUGCUCAUUUCAGGGGUCUGGAGAUAUGGCAUUUGGGUAUAGGGGCUGAAGACUUUUGGGGUGGCUGGGAGCUCAGCCUUUGGGACCUCUGGGCAGGGCACAUUGGGUGGUUUUGUCCAAGCAACCAGGGAAGAAUCACUGAGUCUCCAAAGCAAUGUAACCAGAGAGGAAAGUGUCUCUAGGUGGAAACUCGGGGUUUGAGACAUCUCACACAGCAGCAGAGGUAGCACUCAGUUUGUGCAGGAAAAUAUCAGUAGGGGUCAUGGGUCCAGUGGACUUGGAAGAGGCUGGGUAGGGGAGAGUGCUGGACUGCAGGACUGCCCACCCUGGGAAGCUGUGGGGCAGAGGAGGAAGCACCUCUUGGGGAGAUGGUGGAGUGAGUCCCAGGGAAUCCCAGAGGUGGUGUUGGUUAGAGGGGUGCUGGCGAUGGGAGGGGCUUGGCCUUCAAGAAAGAAGCAGGCUUACUUACAUAUGUGAGGUGUGAUCUGAGAAAUGCUAGGAAAGUCUAACUUGGCCCCACUGACCUGCUGCUAGUGUCCGAAAUUCCACUGUAGGACCUAGCUCCUCGUAAGGAUUCCUAGGGAACAUCUGGCCUUUUGAGGCAGGUGCAGGGAGAGAGUAGAAGGUGGAGUGAUAGGUCCACCACAGGCAUGUCCCCUGACCCAGAGCAGGCUAAGGUGGGUGAGCUCUAGAAGGUCCCUAGUGCACCAGGGAAUGGAGGUCCAGGGCCCCUCAAGGUGUAGGUAUAGGUAAAGUCACUUAGCUGAUGGAUAUGAGGAUAUGGAUUUUUACAGUCUCCUGUGCGUGUCUUCCCAGCAACAUUUGCUAUGGGAUCAUUGUAUACCACAGACUCUGCAUAACAACAGGAAACAGGGCUUUGCCCUCCAUGUGUCCAUGUGUCAGGCGAGUGGUGCACUGGGCAUCACCUUGGGUACGAGGAGCAUGACCCGGGAAGCCAUGCCUAAAGGGAAUGGUAAGGGUGCCCUGCUUCUUGGAUAUCUGAUUGUCUGGUUCUCAUGACUGCUGCUUCAUUUAAAACAUGCACCCACACACAACAGUGGGGUAGGAUCCCAGGCAUCUUGGAUGAUUUUCACAUCAGGAAUGAAUGGAUGCAUCCUUUCUCUGCCCUGCCCACAUGGAAGUUCUGCAGCCCACAUGAAGGCACAUCUAGUUCUGGUGGGUGACCAUGGUGAAUGUCAGGGAUUGGGCUGCCUAACCUCCUCCACCCACCCUCCUUCUACGGAGCCUCCUGCGCUGCUGAGACUGAAAAGCUGCACACUCCAUUACCCAGGCUCCCUUGCAGCCUCCUGCGCUGCUGAGACUGAAAAGCUGCACACUCCAUUACCCAGGCUCCCUUGCAGCUGGGCUCUGGAUGCAAAUUAGAUUCUACCAUUCAGAUGCUCUCCUGGGAGGGCCGUCCUCCUGUGUAGACGUCCUCCUGUACCUUUUAGCUAUUUUCAGUUCACAGGCAAAGUGGUGGAGAUGAGAGGUGUUCUAGAGCAGGCUUCAGUAUCCACUUGACAGCUUUCUGGGUCCCAAGGGUGGGAGGUUGGCAGAGUGGGGCUGGACUGUGAUUCCAGUGCCCAGUCACCACCUUUGUGAUGGUUGAGAGGUGGUUGUGGCACUGGUGACAGCAUCCUGAUCCCUAAAUCCCAGCUCCAUUUGUGGUUCUUGAACUCACAGCCCCAGCAGCAGCCUCUGGGGUUGUGUUUGCAGAAUUGUUCCUUGAGGCCCACCCUGGAACACUCUCCCCCAGCCCUUCCAAGGAUUUCUUAAACACUUUCUGUUUUGGAAAAAAUUACAAAUUCACAGAAGUUGCAAAAAUAGUACAGGGAGGUCCUGUGUACCCUUCACCCAGUUUCUCCCGUAGUUACAUCUUCCUUAAUUGUAGUGUGAUAUCAAAACUAAGAACUUGACAUUGGUACAAUAUGUGUGAUUCCACAGUCCUCUUAUCACGUGUACACUCAUCAAACACCACGGCAAUCAAGAUAAAGAACUGUUUCAUCACCACAAAGAUCUCCUGCACUCCUAUAUAAUCAACCUACCCCUUUCGCUCUCUGCCAUUCCUAAACCCUGACAACCACAAAUCUGUUCUCCAUUUCUAUAAUUUUGUCAUUUCAAGAGAAAUGUUACAUAAAUGGAACCACCCAGGAUGUAAACUUUUGAGGUUGGCUUUUCUUCCACUCAGCACAAUGUCCUUGAGACCCAUCCAAGUUGUUGAUGUAUCAGUAACCCACUCCCUUUUGUUGCUGAGUAGUAUUCCGUGGUAUGGAUGUACCACGUUUUGUUUAACGAUUUGCCCAUUGAAGGACAUCUGGGUCAUUUUCAGUUCUUGGCUAUUGCAAAUAAAUCUGCUUGGAACAUUUGGAAC
rnacentral:lncRNA from 1 species